GUUUCUUCCCCAGUCCUUGCGCCGCUCCAACCUUCUCUCUUCCACACAGCUAUAAAAGGGAAUGCCGGAGCCCCGCCGGAGUUCCCCUUCGCCAUCGCUGCCCUCCCGCUUUGCUCCCUGUUCGUGCUCACAGCGCCACCGCCUAAGUUUCUGAGGAACUCUCCUCUCCGCUCCACACCGCUCUCUCAAUCCGCCCAGCCUCUUGCUCCCCGUGCUGCACAAGAAGCACCGCUGCCGCCGGAGCACCACCGGACAUCAUCACCGCUGUCCAAGCCUUAGUCUUUCCGCCCAAGCCUGUUCUUUCCCGACCCCAAGCUUCAUCUGUAAGACGAAGGUAAGCUGCCGACCCUUUGUUC
rnacentral:lncRNA from 1 species